GAUGAACGCUGGCGGCGUGCUUAACACAUGCAAGUCGAACGGGAAACCUUUUAUUGAAGCUUCGGCAGAUUUAGCUGGUUUCUAGUGGCGGACGGGUGAGUAACGCGUGGGUAACCUGCCUUAUACAGGGGGAUAACAACCAGAAAUGGUUGCUAAUACCGCAUAAGCGCACAGGACCGCAUGGUCCGGUGUGAAAAACUCCGGUGGUAUAAGAUGGACCCGCGUUGGAUUAGCUAGUUGGCAGGGUAACGGCCUACCAAGGCGACGAUGCAUAGCCGGCCGGAGAGGGGGAACGGCCACAUUGGGAAUGAGACACGGCCCAGACUCCUACGGGAGGCAGCAGUGGGGAAUAUUGCACAAUGGGGGAAACACUGAUGCAGCGACGCCGCGUGAAGGAAGAAGUAUCUCGGUAUGUAAACUUCUAUCAGCAGGGAAGAUAGUGACGGUACCUGACUAAGAAGCCCCGGCUAACUACGUG
rnacentral:rRNA from 1 species